CAAAAUGAAUGGUUAAGGCUCUUUUAAAGAGCCUUUAUGGGACUUUAAGUGCUCACAGCCAGUGUGGAACAUCUCUUGCCUUAAAAGCUGCUGUAAGUAACUUUAUAUUCACCCUGUUAUGCUCCUAGACUGAGCUACUCGUCACUGCGUAGCUUGGAGUUGAUGAAAACCAAAGGAAUAUCAUGAAGUUAGUGAGCAUGGAACUGUUCUGCAAUAAAAGGAAAUUCUUCUUAUUUCUCUGAAGAAUAAGGCACAUGGAUAUCCUGGCUACCAGCAAUCCCUGAAGCAAAUGGUCUCCUUCCUUUGCCAACCAUUGCCACAGCUCCCUUGUCUCAGUUACAGCCAAUUGAAAUGUUAUCUGAAAGCCUCAGCUUUACUCUUAUCCUCUGGAAAGAAGUGAAAUGAUAUGAUAACAACCAGAAUGCUGUCACUGGAGCACCCAGUUUAUAACUUCAGCAUGAUAAAAUCCGAGGCCCACUGGUAGUGCAGAGGAUUUUGUCAUUGACUUGAGAAGAAUGAAAGAUACCUCCAGUGCUGCAAGACUUCUGUGGUGAGAACUAACAACUUGCCUGCAAGUGCUCCAGAAGUCGUAAGUGAGAAUUUGACUGUACAUAAUAUCCAGAGAGGAAGAAGUGUUUCUUCCCCAUGUAGUUUUCUUAGUCACGAUUUCAAGGUAAUGCCUGGAAAGGAGAAGGUUAUUGGGUCGACUCUUCUAAAGAAUGUAACAAGCAAAAAUGACUGUAAGCCUAAUGAAAAGUCAAAAUGUUUCUAAUCCAGCUAAGAUGUAUGAAAGAGGUCCCUAUGGCAUAUAUAUUACUGGUUGCAAUUUCUCAGAUGGAAAUAUAUGGUAAUAAUUAA